UUGCAUUAUCUUCUAGAACCCUAGAUCCUUGCCGCACCUAAUACCUAUUUCCCUUGGGAUUUUUGGUUUCUAGAAGCCUUAUCUUUUCACACUCUUUGUGCUGCACAUUAUCUCCAAUCCCUUUGGGUUUUUAACUUGUUUUCCUUAUAGGAUUGGAUGUUAUUAUCCUAUGCAAUUUAGGCCUUUAAACCUUGUCCUUUGCUACCUAGGAGAUGGGAAUUUUCAGCCUAUAUAUACAACCUAUUGCCGCACCCUUUCACUCACCACCCUCUACCAGAUUUUCACUACACCAUUCACCAAUCAUCUCUCAUUGUGCCGUGAGUUUGCAAGGAGAAGAAGGAAGACAACUUGGAGCCGUGUAUGCCAUUCA
rnacentral:lncRNA from 1 species